rnacentral:rRNA from 1 species
UACGUAGGGGGCAAGCGUUGUCCGGAAUCAUUGGGCGUAAAGAGCGUGUAGGCGGCCCGGUAAGUCUGCUGUGAAAGUCCAGGGCUCAACCCUGGGAUGCCGGUGGAUACUGUCGGGCUAGAGUACGGAAGAGGCGAGUGGAAUUCCCGGUGUAGCGGUGAAAUGCGCAGAUAUCGGGAGGAACACCAAUUGCGAAGGCAGCUCGCUGGGACGUCACUGACGCUGAGACGCGAAAGCGUGGGGAGCAAACAGG